GUUAAAUCUAUAUAUACCAUUUUUAUGGUCGGGCGUCCACGGCUGAUUGGUAUAUCAAAUCAAACACAAGGGUGUAUAUCAUGCCCCUGAGUGUUCACGCCUCACUGGGUGGUCACGUAAUAAGGUGUGGCACCAGCAUCUCGGGUUACAAUUUGAUAUUAAUUCAAGUACUCCACUGAUAAUGUACAUAGGUAGUUAACUUAAUUACAUUCAGUUUUGUCCGACAAGGAGCGAGUUUACUUUUUUUUAGACACAGACUUUGUAACAGGCUCUUCCCCUGGAAACACAUAUAUUGUAAAUAAAUAUUUUGCCAUUUCCAUCAACCUUAUCACGUGAUGUUCUAUAACUGUUGUCUUGUACACUAUCCAUAGUGUAAGUCAGCUGGCUCGAGGAAUUUUCAUAUAGUAUUAUCAUUAAACAACAUACCCUAUGCAACAGUUAUGUUGCUACCCAGACAAAACUAUUUUUAUAUUCUAUGUUAAAUGUAAACGAUCAGUUUUUAUUAUAAAUACAAAACCACCUUUUAAGCGGUAAUACCUAUCACGCAUUGAACAACAUAUAUGAACAACCAUGUGAUUAUAAAGUCUCACGUUGGUUCCUCCGUGCAACUUCAUGCCUGACUUACAUUCAUAUUGUUCUUUCACCACACUUACGCUUCUCCAAAUUUAGAAAGAAGCUGUGUACACAGUGUUCUUGCGAGUUACAAUAACGCGUCCGGUUUGGCUGCAACUUCAAAGAGUGGACAUAUGGUUGCUCCUUCAGCCACAGCAAAGAUCCCGAACCACGUGCAGUCAGCAGAGUUACAGCGUCUGGUUACCGUCUUGCAGUUACGAUACAGAAUAUGUGCACAUAGCUUUCAAUGACCAGACGAAAAAAAGAAUUCAUUUCAAGUAUGUUGAGAAGAAAACGACCCAUCUCUGAAAAAAUCACCUCACCCAAGAAAAUACGACUCAUUCAUGAGAAUGAAAAGUGCAAAGUCUCCCAAGGAAUUGACUUGUAAUAUAGCAUGUGAAUAAAUAAUUUUUUGAAAUAUCUCACGAAAUUAGUUUU